AGAGUUUGAUCCUGGCUCANRNUGAACGCUGGCGGUAUGCUUAAUACAUGCAAGUCGUACGAGGGCUUUUAGCCCUAGUGGCGGACGGGUGAGUAACACGUGAGAAUCUGCCCUUAGGAGGAGGAUAACAGCUGGAAACGGUUGCUAAUACUCCAUAUGCCGAGAGGUGAAAGGAAUUUCUGCCUAAGGAGGAGCUCGCGUCUGAUUAGCUAGUUGGUAGGGUAAAGGCCUACCAAGGCGACGAUCAGUAGCUGGUUUGAGAGGAUGAUCAGCCACACUGGGACUGAGACACGGCCCAGACUCCUACGGGAGGCAGCAGUAGGGAAUUUUCCGCAAUGGGCGAAAGCCUGACGGAGCAAUACCGCGUGAGGGAUGACGGCCUGUGGGUUGUAAACCUCUUUUCUCAAGGAAGAAGUUCUGACGGUACUUGAGGAAUAAGCAUCGGCUAACUCUGUGCCAGCAGCCGCGGUAAUACAGAGGAUGCAAGCGUUAUCCGGAAUCACUGGGCAUAAAGCGUCUGUAGGUGGUUUGGUAAGUCUGCUGUUAAAGACUGGGGCUCAACCCCAGAAAAGCAGUGGAAACUGCCAGACUUGAGUGUGGUAGAGGUAAA
rnacentral:rRNA from 1 species